ACCCCGCGCCAGCCCUGUCCCCGAGCCCCCCGGGCCCUGCGGCCCGCGGCCCCUUACCUUGGCCUGGCAUUUCCGAUGACAGGAGAAGCUGCAGACUGCGAGAAGGCGAGACACAGAAAGAAAGUUUAGCCGCGAGGUUAUCAGCGGAGCGCACCAUCGCAUAUUCAACUGAAAAGGCAGCCCCAGGUGUCCACUCCAGGCCUCCCAAGCCUAGUCUAGGCCCUCGGCCUCCAGCAUCCUCCUUCAUUCUUUUGACAGUUCGCAGAAUGCGCCCAGCUCCUUCCUACCUCGGGGCCUUUGCACUUGCUGUUCUGGAUGCCUGGAAUGCCCUUCCUCACCCCAGCUCUCCAUCAUUCACAAGCCAAAUCCUUCUACUUCUGGAAUCCACUUGAAAGCCACCUCCUCAAAGAGGCUCUCCUUGACCACCCAAAUCGCAUAGGCUCCCCCAUUAUUCUUUCUCAGCAGCACCCGCUGACUUCCUUCUUAGAACGGCUCACAGUCUGAAGGCAUCCUGGGUACACUCCGUCCCCCACACUAGACUCACGAGGGCAGGGGGCACGCCUGUCUCAUUCACCUGUGUCCCCAGCAGGUAGAACAGUGCUGCUCCAGGCCCACAGCACCAAACAUGGUCUCUGUGCAAAUUAGAAAAAGUGCCCCCGCCACCCAGGCAGCCCAGCCCGGCGGGCACAGAGCUGAGGACAGCAUCUUAGUGGGAAUGACAAGAAGGUGCCCUUUCUCCAGGCAGACCCAGCGCUGUGCCUGGGCGCGUGGCUGGGGGAGCGAGGCAUGGGGCUGAUUCCGGCGCCCUCUCGGACAGACGCCCUCGGCAGUGGUGGCCUGCAUGACCCCACAGGGCCGCCCCGCCUGUCGCCCAGCGGGCAGACACUCCACAACGCCCUUGAGUGCCACUCGCUGGGCAGCUACCAUACAAUGAGCGCAGUGCCGUGCGUGCUGGAAUGCAGCAGCCUGCCCUUGAGAGCUCCCGCCCCCAAGGAAGACCUGCCCUGGCCCCCGGGCCCGAGACAAAAGCUCCGCAAACUGAGCUCAAGAGGCAGGUCUCAGGCAGCGCUGGGGGGUGGCCAGGUCCCUGCCGAGGGAUUUUUACACCUUCACAAGCACCUGACCAACCCCAAGGAGGCCCUCUGGCCCCGACCCCCUGCGGAGGCCUCCUUUAUAGUCUCAGCCCCCUUUCUCAGAGGCCGGUGCUUCCUACUCUAACCUGCACCCUUCCUGCUGGAAUUUGGAACCUGGGCAUGCCAUGCUGCUGGCUUCUUGCUUCCCAGAUCAACAGCCCAUUCCAGCGUGUUCCAGGAGGAGAAAGUGUGGCCCCCAGCCUCCAAGGUGGCCCCAGGGUCUCUCGCCUCCUGGUCUGCACACCUCCUGUAGUCCCCACCCACAGUGACGAGGAAGGUUUAUGUCCCCCGUCGGGUGUUGUGGAAAUGACGGUGUGCGACUUCUGAGGGCAGGCGUCCGAGGCACUGCGGCUCAGCCUCUCUCCUUAGAUCCCCCUCACUGUGGGGGGGCAGGCCCCAUGUCCUGAGGACCCUCAACCAGCCCUGCACACGGCCCUGCGGGGAACAGCUGAGGCCUCCCGCACCAGCCAGCGCCAGCCAGGCUGGCACGCAACCGAGCCACCUUGGCAGUGGAUCACCCUGCCACUGUCAGGCCCUCAGAUGACUGGCAUCGUGACGGCCAUGUCAUGAGACCCCCCAGAGUCCAAACCAGCCAGCUCGGUCACUCACGAACCCCUGACCCACGGAAAUUACCUGGGAGAAUUUUGUAUGGGUGUUAAACUGCUCAGCUUUGGGGUAAUUUAUACUCGGCUGCAGAUGACUAAUACAGAGACUGGAGCACAGGACCUCUCCGAAAGCAAGAGGCCAGAGAGCGAUGCUGGAAACUGAGACCAGAGGCCAUCUCCGGGGUCCCUGCUCGCUCCCCGGGUACCUGCAUGCUCCUCUCUGGAGCUCCCUCCCUUUUCUUACCCCAAGUAAUUAGUCAUCGGCUCCCAGAAAGUACCUCCAAAGAGGGUGCUGAAUCUCAACCUUCCUCCCUAGCCCCCACCACUGCACCAGUUCAGACCAGUUCAUCCUGCCCUGGGCCGCAUCUCCCCAGCAGCCUUGUCCCCCUUCAAUCCACAGAGUCACAGACCACUCUUGAGUGCACACUGAUCACACCCCUGCUUAGAACCUUCUAUCCAGCUCCUCAGCACACUUAUAAGGGCCUGCAUGGCCUGGUCGUGCCUCCGUGUCCAGCUGCUGCCCCCAAAGGGAUUUGUUGCUGCUUCACCACACUCCCCAAAUGGACUCUUGAGUCCACAAGGAGCAGGUCUGGAAUGGUGAACUCAUAUGCAUCCUUCAAAGCCCAGUUCAAAAUGUCCCUCCCUGGAUAAGCAGGCAUUCCAAGAUGGUCCCUCCCUCUUCUGUGUUCCCAGAAUCCUCAGCUCACACCCCUUGGAAAUUUCUCAUCACCUUGAAGGACUAAGUAUUCCUUUAGGAUGUGUUCUCCCCCACAUCCAGCUGCCUCUCUAAGGCAGAAAGGAGGUCCUGUUCAACUUUGCAGUGUUGUAUCCUGCCCCUUCCCCUAGCACAGUGUCUGCAUACAGAUGGGGCUCAAUGAAUGUGGAGUCGAGUUCAGAUUGGAAGGAUUCUCCCCAGCCGAAACCCCUGGGAUCGGGGCUGACGUUCUGGGGCAACGGAACAGACGACAGAGAGAGCAGGCGGGUGAGCCCCACUCUUCAGCUGCGGCCCCUCCUGGGAGGGCCAGCAGGGACAUGGUCAGUGUCCUGAGCGCUUCGGUACAGACACCACCUGCGAUGGAGCCUGGUGAGGGGCUGGGCGCACUAAGGGAGUUACUCGUCCUUCAUCCACUCGCCCACUGGCCCCGCUCUCCAUGCACCCACUUUGCUCCCUGGCUGCAUGGAGACUGGCUCCCAGCUCAAAUGCAGGUCACGCACUAGCUCUGUGACCUGGGGUGACUCACUGAACCACUCUGAGCCUUUAUUUGCACUAGCUCUGUGACCUGGGGCAAGUUACUGAACCACUCUGAGCCUUCAUUUCCUCAUCUAUAAAAUGAGGGUAAGAACAGCAUCUACCUCCCAGGGUUGUCCUGAGAAGGAAUGAGCGAAGAUAUGUGGUUGGCCCAGAGGAUGCUCUAUCGAAGGGCUCGCUGUCACCAGCAGCGUCGUCGUCACCUUCGUCAUUAUUAUUAUUGUACGGAGGAGCCCCCACGUCCUAGUCAGGAGACCUGGGUUCUCCUCCUGACUGCUGUCAUACAGCUGUGUGACCUGAAGCAAGUCACUCCCCCUCUCUGGGUCUCAGCCCCCUGCUCGGGAAAUAAGGCAAUCAGCUGGGAACCUCCAGGAUGCACUGGGCCUGCGCCCUGGUCUUCGUGGGCUGGCUCAGUGUUUAAAGGGCAAAGACUUAUUUUCUUACUCGGAAUGCCUUUCCGCAGAGCAGCUCCCUGCAGUCGCAGGGUGCCCCCCACGCCCUGCUGUCUCACACUGGCCUGCGUUUCCGCGAGGGCCCUGGGGCAGAAGGCCUCCAGCCCUCCUCCAGCUGUGAGAGCCGGCGUGUGACGAGCCAGCCUCUGCUUCACAGGCACCACCCUCGGUCCCCUCCCUCCAACCCGGAAAGGGGGGACACCCGGGUCCAACCUGAUGACACCCCAAACGCUGCUGAGGACACACCCAGCCUGUGCUUGAUGGGGAUGCCCGCCCCACCAUUUCUCACUGCUGGGGAACGGGGCCAGGAAACCCCAGCCUCCGUGUCCCGGGGCCCCUCAGAUGCCCGAGUCCGUGGGUCACCUGCGGCUGGAGAAGCGCACCCUGACCCCAGCCCCUGGCCAGCCCCCACCUCGCUGGGCUGCCCGUCCUCCCUCCUGGGGUGGCUUCCUGCCUCUCGGAACACAGGAAGCCAACAUUGUUGGGAUCUAAAUGGCCUUUUCCUCCCGGCCUUGGGUCGGAAAAUGAGCACAUAGCCUUGGUGUGCACCUGACCCCAGCAAUAACCGCCCGCGCGCCUGGCCGGCCGCGGCUCCUUCCCCAGCUCAGCUGCCCACCUGCCCACUGGACCUCAGCCCUGCCCUGCCCUGCUCAUCUCCACGGCCUGGCCCAGAGGCGUGUGAUGGUUCAUAUUAUGUGUCGACUUGGCUAGGCCACGGUACCCAGAUAUUUGUUCAACAUUAUUCUAGAUGUUUCUGUGAAGGGCUUUUUUUGGAUGAGGUUAACAUUUAAAUCAGUAGACUUUGGGUAAAGCACAUUACCUUUCAUAAUGUGGGUGGGCCUCAGCCAGUCAGUUGAAGGCCUGAAUACAAAAAGACUGAUCCCCCCCAGUAAGAAAGGAUUCUGCCAGUGGACUGGUUUUGGACUCGAACUGCAACCUGCCCCUGGGUCGCCAGCCUCCUGGCCCACCCGGCGGAUUCUGGACUUGCCACGCCCCCCAGUCACAUGAGCCAGUUCCUUAAAUACGUAUCCAUCCACGCACCCCGUGGGUUCUGGUUCUCUGGAGAGCCCUGACUGAUCCAAGGUGUCUCAGGGGCAAUGAGCAGUGUGGCUCUGAGCUUGGAGCUAGAAGAAACCUUCUAGAUAGUCCCAUCCAGUCGUUUCCAGGCAUUUUUGCAGCAAACCCUUCGUGCAGAUGGACCCCUGCGUGGAAUCCCAGGGAUGCUGGUCAGCGUUUGCUGGGCGCCUGUUCUGUGCGGGCUCUGUGUGAACACUGUGUGUGUGUCAUCCCCUUUAAUCCCCACAGUCGCCGGGGAGGGAGGUUUGCUCUGUGCCCCAUUUUAAAGGUGAGGUGACUGAGGCUCACGGACGUGAAGCCGCCCGCCCACGUUCUCACUGGAAAGGGGCAGAGCUGGGGUUGGAAUCCAGGACGUCUGAGCCCAGUGCAAGACCACCGCACCAUCCUGCCUCCUGAUACAUGGAACUCCUGAAAGCAGAGCUGCUCUGAUUGGAGCGGGCAGGGCCGGGGCCCCAGCCCCCCAAGCCUUCCCUUGGAUUUCCUGUUUUCCCCCUUAGGCCCCUAAAGCAUCUCCAAAGAACCUUACAGCUCCUUUGGAACACAGUAUAGAACCUCCGA